rfam:Bacillus galactosidilyticus strain PL133 scaffold000066, whole genome shotgun sequence.
GAUAAAGGAUCUUUGACUAAGUGCCGACACAUCCUAUGUCGAACGUCGAAGUCACCACAACACGCAAG